rnacentral:rRNA from 1 species
CUACGCACUCCUACGGGAGGCAGCAGUGGGGAAUAUUGCACAAUGGGCGCAAGCCUGAUGCAGCCAUGCCGCGUGUAUGAAGAAGGCCUUCGGGUGUAAAGUACUUUCAGCAGUGAGGAAGGUGGGUAUGUUAAUAGCAUACUCAUUUGACGUUAGCUGCAGAAGAAGCACCGGCUAACUCCGUGCCAGCAGCCGCGGUAAUACGGAGGGUGCGAGCGUUAAUCGGAAUUACUGGGCGUAAAGCGCAUGCAGGUGGUUUGUUAAGUCAGAUGUGAAAGCCCGGGGCUCAACCUCGGAAUUGCAUUUAGAAACUGGACAAACUAGAGUACUGUAGAGGGGGUAGAAUUUCAGGUGUAGCGGUGAAAUGCGUAGAGAUCUGAAGGAAUACCGGUGGCGAAGGCGGCCCCCUGGACAGAUACUGACACUCAGAUGCGAAAGCGUGGGGAGCAAACAGGAUUAGAUACCCUGGUAG